GAUUCAGUAGUGUAGGGGUAUCAUGAGCGCUUGCCAUCAAGGACUUCGGUCCUGUAGCAUUCUGCGCUCGACCCGGGUUCGAAUCCCGGCUGAAUCA